AGCAGCCGCGGUAAUUCCAGCUCCAAUAGCGUAUAUUAAAGUUGUUGCAGUUAAAAGCUCGUAGUUGAAUUUCGGGAUCAGUAGGUCGGUCAUGCCUAUGGUAUGUACUGGUCUCACUGGUUCCUCCUUCCUGAUGAACCGUAAUGCCAUUAAUUUGGUGUUGCGGGGAAACUGGACUGUUACUUUGAAAAAUUGAGUGUUUAAAGCAGGCUAACGCUUGAAUACAUUAGCAUGGAAUAAUGAAAUAGGACGAUCGAUCCUAUUUUGUUGGUUUCUAGGAUUGACGUAAUGAUUAAUAGGGAUAGUUGGGGGCAUUAGUAUUCAAUUGUCAGAGGUGAAAUUCUUGGAUUUAUUGAAGACUAACUACUGCGAAAGCAUUUGCCAAGGAUG
rnacentral:misc_RNA from 1 species